rnacentral:tRNA from 1 species
GGACGCCUAGCUCAACGGUAGAGCAACGGACUUUUAAUCCGCAGGUUCUGGGUUCGAAUCCCAGGGCGUCCACCA